AGAUUAGGACCGAGGGCAGGAGUUUGAGGACCGCCUUCAGCUGAUUUGCAAUACACUCCUUACCGGAUACCAAGGAGGAGCUACUACUCCCAGAAAGGAAGAGGCGGUGUCUUUUCCAACCCCCACUCCCCUUGGAUGAUAAAACCGGAGCCCACAGGAUCCUCAGGAUAGAGCUUCUGUGCCUGCCCGCCUGCAUCUCUCACAAGCAUCCUAUCUUAAUAAAUCUAUUUCCUGCCAAUCACUUGGUCUCUCGCUGAAUUCCUUCUGCUCGGAGGCAUGAAGAAUCUGAACCUCAGUGAGUCCAGACACCGGAUAAAAAGAAGGAAGAAUGAAGAAUGAAGUAGUUAAAGAAUGAGUAGCUCUACCUCCAACAGCCUGCUAAAGAAUCCUGCAAGCAGAUCACUCAGGCAAGAUAAUAUCUGAAGAGAGUCAGCCAGUUUGCAGGCAAUGAAGAAUGAUGCAGAACCCAACUUCUUGCCUCCCUGAUUCACUGACAUUCUCCCCCUCAACACCCAUUUUUCCCUUUAAGAACUACCACGCCUGGCUGAGCAGAAUCUUUGGAGUUGGUCUCUGGACAAGAGUCCACCUUCUCCCCAGAUUGCCAGCUUUUCUGAUUAAAGCACCUUUCUAGUGACACUUCCUCUUGAAUUAUUGGCUUUUGAGCAGUGAGCUGCCAGUGAGUUCAGUAAAACACAUAGACACAAAGAAAGAAGGCAUGUGAUGACAGAGGCAGAAAUUGGAAUGAGGCAGCCAUAAGCCAAGAAAUGCCAAGGAUCGCCGGGAACCAGCAGAAACUAGGAAGAGGCAAGGAAAUAUUCUUCCCUAAAGCUCUUAGACAGAGCAUGGCCCUGCUGACACUUUGAUUUUGGACUUCUAGCCUCCAGAACUGGGAGCAAGUAAAUUUCUCUUGCUUAAGCCGCUCAGUUUGUGGUACUCUGUUGCAGCAGCCCUAGGAAACUAACAUAGUAAGAUAUUGGGGAAGGAGAAAUAUUCUGUAAUCUUAUGAUGAAAUCUCAAUGGGCCUGAGAUCCUGGGCUUGACCUCCAGAAGCAUUUCCUGGCCUUCUUCUCCCAUUACGUGAGUCUGGAAGUGUGGCAGGCCUGGAGCUGUCUCAUUGCCCAUCCCCCAGGAGAGAUAAGGUGCUGGGAAAGCAGUUUCCCUUGAUGGAGGGCCUUUGUUAAGAACAGAAUGCUCUGGGCUGUCGAAGUUGUUACAUUCCCUCUGAGCUUCUUUUAAAAGGGUUACUUUUCUCCUCCCCAUCCCUGAAGCUCUAGGAUUAUUUCCCUACUUUCACAGUGAGAACCCAGUAGGGCUCCUGGAGGAAAACCCCAGGAAAGUGUGGGGCCUCCCUAAGACUGGAACCCCAGCAGAUUUUAACUCUCAAUCUGGUCCACACUCAACCUCCAGCAAUUCAUCCAACCAUUGGUACUCCUGCCAGUUGCUGGCUCCAGUGUCGGUUUCUGCUCCUGGCAUUUUUUCCUCUCUGCUGAAGACUAUAGAGAACAGACAUGGAGUAACAAAAAUGAAAUACACGGGAAAGUUAGAAAGGUCCAGGAUCAUAGAAAAUCUCUCAGAGCGAUGACUUUCUGGUCUGCGAUUCUGAUGUCCCUUCUAGAAAUUUCUUGAAACCUAAGUUACCUCUCUCUGCAUCUGACCUUGGUGGAUGGCGAUCACUGCUGCCAGAAUAUCUUGUUCUUCUUAAAAGUUAUUUAUUGUGUGUUUCCUUGUCUUGCUGUUACUUUGCAGUCUUGCACAAAUCAGUUUGUGAUUAGUACUCUGAGAAAGUCGACCUUUUGUUGAAUCGGGUCCCCCCACUCCCCCACCCCCGCUGAUCUGGUGUAGAAUGAAUCAUAUGUAUUACUGAGUGAUCACUUCCUAGUGUAUGUGCCAGGCACGCAUUCAUGUGUCUAUCCUGUGGGCCUGGCUCUAUAAAGAACAGACGACCCCUAGGGAAGAGCCUUUUUGAGCCUGACAACUAGAAAUUUGCCCAGACCGUCAAAGCAUGAUCAUUAUACAAAACUUGGGCACUACACCUAAAUAUAAAGAGGAAAAUUAAAAUGAUCCAUAAUCCCAUAGUCAUUAUUUUGGUAUAUAUCUGUUAGGGAAUCAUUGACUGAAACUGCCCACCUUGGCCAGGCAGGUAAUAGCCACGUGCAUGAGUUGUCUCACAGCAGGAAGCCCUGAUAAGGACCUUGGUGCUGCCCUGAAGGCUAACCAGGAGAAUUUGGGAGGGGCCAAUAGGAAGGGGGAGAUGACCAACAUCCCAGCAUCCUUGGCGCUGAAAUCCAUCUUGGCUGAGAGGUGCGUGCACCGCCAGGAAGGACCCUGGGCCAGACCAAAUAUGGGCUGAGCAAGACAACUGGCCAGAGAAAACUUGGAAACUAACCCCAUCCCCAUAAAACCUGAGACAGUUCUCCUGGGUUCUCUUAUCCUGCUGCUCUCCACCUGGGAACACCUUCCCAAUAAAGUCUUUUUGCUUUGCC
rnacentral:lncRNA from 1 species